UACGUAGGGUGCAAGCGUUGUCCGGAAUUAUUGGGCGUAAAGAGCUCGUAGGCGGUCUGUCGCGUCGGCUGUGAAAACUCGGGGCUCAACUCCGAGCUUGCAGUCGAUACGGGCAGGCUAGAGUUCGGCAGGGGAGACUGGAAUUCCUGGUGUAGCGGUGAAAUGCGCAGAUAUCAGGAGGAACACCGGUGGCGAAGGCGGCGAUCUGGGUCGAUACUGACGCUGAGGUGCGAAAGCGUGGGGAGCAAACAGG
rnacentral:rRNA from 1 species